UCAAUCUAGUCGCUAGUCAAUCCCUGGUACAGCCUUCGUCGUUGUUAGGCUCCUCAAUCCCCUCGCACAGGCGCCGCCGCCAACCCUGCCCUCGAUCGUGGCGCCGCCGGCGUCCCUCCUGUCGCUCGUGCCGCCGCCGUCGCCGACCCUCGCACAGCCGCAGCCGCCUGCUCUCCUCUGCUGCCCCAGCGCCCCGAGCAUCGCCCCGUUGAAUAGGCGCUCCCCACGGCAGCGCCUCCUCCCUGGAUCAGCCACUGACGGCCAUCAACGCCCGCGACCCAAUCCAUAGGAAGGACGAGUAUCCCUCCCAGCCCCCUGCGCCGCCGUCUGCCUCUGACGAUUCCACACGCGUGUAGGCGACAAUGGAACAAAUUCAGACAUUCAAAGAUAUUCAUCCGUCAGAAUAUUCAGGUUUGCCAUGUGAAGAAAAAGGAUAUGUGGGAGCUUUUGGAUGGACAAAGGCUCCAGCAAUGAAGAGAAGAGAGCUGCAUUCCCUACUUGCAAUUCUAGUAACUAUCUUUGUUAUAACUUGUAGAGUGUACCC